UUUAAAACUGAUUAAUAAUAUUUGCACAAAGUAUGUGUAAAACGUACAAAUUUGAAUUUUCUAUUCAGUUGCAUGUGUACACAGUGAGAGUCAUAUUUUGAACAAAGUGCAACGUUAACAUGGAACUUUGAACCGAACUUUCGCUUUAUCAUUAAAGCUAUUAAGUUGACACCAUAAAACCUCCUCUUUGGUGCCAAUAGUUCUCGUACCCGUACAGAACCCAUGUGUCAAUAUAUGUCUCACCAAUAUUGUGUUUGUAACAUUUAUACAUAAAUGACGGCAUUUUGGGAGCACAUCCAACACCGUUAUUUUGUAAACAGUUUAUAUGACGUAUAGUCAUGUUCCUUAACGUAAUGAAAGCAAAACCGACAGAAUAGAAGUGGUCUCUAAUAUAUGAUACUAUUUAAAGGAACGAUGGCAUGCUUCAUCACAAACGACUAGGAAGUAGGAUGUUGUUGUUAAUAUGUUCCUCAAGCGUCCGCGUCCGACAAAAUCCGCGUGGAAACAUCCGAAUGCAUCAUUACUAAUGAACACCCAUACUUCUGACUGGCGGCGAGAACUAUCUACGAGAACUAUCGACGCAUCCAUAAGCAUUAAGGAUAAUUGCACACAAUGCAACAAUAUAUGUGCCUGUCCAUAGUGAUCGUGAUGUUUCUCAGACAUGGAUACACAGAUGAAUCAGUGGCAUGUCCAGUGGGUGUCUGGGGGUCCGGAUGUAGUGAGAGGUGUCCAGACGUAUGUCGGGACAACUGUUCCAGUCAAGGACUAUGCACUGACUGCAUC